UGCGUAGGCGGCCUAUUAAGUCAGUGGUGAAAGGUAUCAGCUUAACUGAUGAAGUGCCAUUGAAACUAAUAGGCUUGAGUACAGACGAGGUAGGCGGAAUUUAUGGUGUAGCGGUGAAAUGCAUAGAUACCAUAAAGAACACCGAUAGCGAAGGCAGCUUACUAGACUGUAACUGACGCUGAGGCACGAAAGCGUGGGGAGCGAACAGGAUUAGAUACCCUGGUAGUCC
rnacentral:rRNA from 1 species